rnacentral:misc_RNA from 1 species
AGGUGAUGAUCCUGAAAUGGU